UUGGUGUUCCUUCCGAUAUUAUUAAAUCAGAUUCUUUUACUACAAUAGAUGAUAAAAAAGUUGAUUUUCUUUUUUCAAAGAAAGAACUGCGUAGUACAGAAUAAGAUAUGAAGCCUUUCCAAGUAAUUUAUUCUGAAAUAAGUGCAUGAUUUCAGUUAAAUUAGCCAAUCUGCAUUUUACUUCUUUUGCAUAUAGUAUAAUAUUCCCUCCAACAGAAUGUAGAUUAUUUGCAACAGAACAUUCAUUUUCUCAAUUUAGACUGCACACUGUAUUUCCCCAUGAAAUGGAUGAGUCAAAAGAUCCAUUUCGUAUUUGCCUUGAAAAUUUGCAAGCAAUCAUUAUCAGGAAGAAAACCUUUUGCACCAUACAGGAACUCUUAGCUGUAAAUAGAACAAUAACUAUUUGCUGUGUCUAUCCAAAAAGGUAAAUCAAGAAUCAGGGGGCUGAAAAUAGAGUUUUAGAGACCAAAAUUAUCCAAUAAUUCAUACAAGUGUUUUUCAUGAGUUAUAUUUACUAGACAUCUCCAACUUGCAUAGCUUUCUAAGUUCUCUGUCCAAAUGGGUACAUGCUUCUAGAAACACCAAAGUGUUCUCCAGCUGGAGUUUUUCCUGUGCUGAAUGAGUAUAUCAUGUAUCAAUCUGUUUGCUAUAGUUCUUAGUUUGCUUUUUUCCAUCUGCUUGGAUUUAUUGAUCUAUGUUUAAUUGAUGUUUGUCUUUAUGGCUCAGUUUCAUGGACUACAUAAAAAUAUGCAGCUAUCCUGUCACCUCAGGAUCAGCAGAGAAAAACCAAUCCACCCCAAAUUACACAGAGAGAUAUCUCAAGGAAAGUAACAAGAACAUGUGCUCUACGAACAGCUCUACAGCUCCAGUGAUCCCUCUUUUCUUUUUAACAAUAAUUUACCUGACUUUUUCCACUUAAGAUUUCAGUUCUAUGUCCAUUAUUCAAAAUGUUACCUAGCUGAUUGCAAUUUUUUAAUCCCAUUUCAGAGUAUGACCAGGUCAUGACUUUUUUCAUCAUUUUUCAUUGUCUAAAUUCCAGAUGUACUCAUCAAAAUCCAAAUUUGGAAUUUGCCAUGAUAAUACUCCUAUGGAUCAUAUGCAUCACUGUGACCCACUCUGUGAGGAAUCUUAAGUUUUGCAAUAUAACUUAAUUGUAAAGAGGUAAAUCUUUACCCAUAAAAAACAUCCAAUUUUGAAUCAGCUUCAAUUUCUUUGAUUGUUUUUGCUUAUAAAGACUACAAAUGUUUUCAUUUUAUUGGGGUUUUUGAGAGAACCACUAAAAAUCAAGGAUACACAUUUGAAAUCACAUUUAAAGCUCCAGGUGUUAACUUUCAUUUUAUCAGAUGAUAAUAUCUGAUAUCUGUUUUUACUUAUCUAAGCAAUUUGUUUGUAAACUCAGAGGACAGUUAUCAUAUGGCUCACUUUUACUUAUGUGAGUGAGCAGCUGCAUGGUAUUUAGUUGCUGGAUGGGGUUAAGCCAUGACAAGUUCAAAGACCUCAGGAUUUUUUAAUUUUUGACAGCUUGGAUAACAUGGCAAGUUCCCAGAGUCCUUGUAACAACAGCAGUACUUGUAUUUUAGGAAAUAGUAAUCCUGUUUGCUUGGGCACACAAAAUCAGUAACCUACCUCUGUGAAAUCUGUAAAAAAAAAAAACCCUCAAGGUUUUAUCCAUGUAUACCCUAGAGUACUCAGCAUUUGUUUUUCAAGCUCAUCAGCACCACUAAAAGCCAGUUCACUCUUUCUAUGCAAUAUGGUGAACUCAGUUACUUACAAACACAGUCCAGGGAGCACAGUUAGGACUCCUGGUCUUGUGGGUGACUGGUUAGUAAGAAUGUUUUACAGCUGAAGACUUCAGGACCCAAGUUCAGAUGCUGUUAGAGAAGUUUACUAUGAUUGAAAAGACAAAGAGAGAGGACAUGAUCAAAUAUCAUGCAACCAGGAAAAUUACUGAUGUUGAAACUGACUAUGAAGAGAAACUACUUAGUCUGUAACCAAAGGAGACACUGCAAUACAGGAAAAGGUUUAAGUUUCUCAGGCUUGGUUUCAGGGGGUUUGGGUGGAUACUCUGCAUUUGUUAAUACAGUGAUGUAUUUGUUGUAAUCUGCCUUCAAGAGGGUCAAAGUUUCUCUGACAUCAAUGCUUCCUGUCAAGGGCAGAAUAAAGAGCAACUGGUUUUAGUUGAUAAACACAACUUUGAACAAGAGGAAUGGAAAACCACAAAACAGGGACUAUUUUUAUGGCGCUUUAAGGAGACCAAGCUAAUAAUAAGUAAGCACAGGUUGUAAUAAGGAAUAAAAUUUAAAAAUAAGCAGAUAAACGCAAUCUUUUUGGUAAACAUGGAAAGUUGUGCCUCACAACUGUGAGAUUCAGUAUUACAAAUGGGAUUGUGACCUUUAAAGCUAAUCCUAAUAAUAGAAACAGAGCAUACAUUUAAAUUCACUUUUUAAAAUUAUUGAUCAGAAUUCAUAUGCAUCUGAGGCACUUGAAUUGUCUGGUGUUACUUUAAGAUAUCAUAGGAUAGUUGCCUAAUUCCUUUAAACUUUUCUAGUCACUGAUUCAUCUUGUUACCCUUCUCAGUUUGAAAGCUUUAAGGUUCUUGUCCUCACUUUGCAUUUUACAUUCUACAAGGCUACUCACCAGCCUAACAGGUAAGUAGAGCAGUAUGGGGCAAGUUGACCUUCCUGAUUAGGAAAUUCAGUACAUUACUUCUUAUAUAAGUGCUGUUCAGUGCUAAAGAAUAUCACUUCCAUGUUAUUUGUACUUAAUGUUCUGCUGACUAGGAAGCAGGAAAUUUGAAAGUAUAAUUAAGGAGCUGGUCUUUCUCUUGCCUUCCCCAACACAACAUGAAUCUAUUGUCACAAGGAAAGAGGAAUAGGAGUAAAGAGCAUUAUAGGGAGGGAAAACUCAAAGUGUUUUUGUGAAAGGACUGGAUCAUUCAGUCUUAGUUAACAUAAUUACAUAAUUACACAUGAUAGAUAUUUCCCUAGGCUUUCCUGAUAACCAUUGGAGAAACAGGUUUCUCUAGAGGAUCACUCAAGACCUACUUAGUGCAGCUCAGGAAUACUUCCUUCUCAAACACAAAAACCAGUUAAGUCACUUCUCUCAGACUAAAUAAAUAUGACAAGGUGCCAACAGAUGGAUCUAGGCAAUGAAGAUUUUAGAGGUUAAUCUUACUACAAUCAACUAACAAUGUUUGCUGAUGCCUACAAUACACCAAUCAUUCACAAAAACCAUUAUCCUGGUCAUUGUUCAAAUGUUUUCUGCAGAAAAUUUUUCACCAAUACCAAAGUGCCCAGUUCUGAUUAAAUCUCAGUUUAAUGACUUGCCAGAUCUUUGCAAUUUUAACAUAUUAUAAAUUCCCUGGCAGUUUUUCAUUAAAGCCAAGACUGCUGAGUUUUUCUUUUUUUUAAUUAUGCAAUUAGUAAGACUAUUCUGGUGUACUUCAUUAAGAAUUUUUUUUAAAAUCUUGUAAGAAUUGUCCAUUUGAAUUUGAAAUUUGAAAUUUUUUUCUCCCUUACACUUUGUCAGCUACAACAGUCAGAUUUAUAUUAGUGAUUGCAGUGUGAUGGAUGAUAUGUGCAAUUUAUGCCUUUCAAUAUCACAUUAACAGCUUUUGGAGAACAUGCCACUACUACUGAUUAUCUGAAGUUGUAAACAGCUGUAAAACUUGAUGAAAAUAACAAAAGCUUUGAUCUCAAACCCAUUUAAGCAUUCAGAUUUUUAUUUAACAGCUCUAACCUAUUACAAAUACAUUUAGAUCUUUUAACUAAACAAAUUACUUCCUUCAAAGAUACUGACAGUAGUAAAAUAUAUUAUGGGAACUGAUUUAGAAACUUUAAAGUACUUAUAAAUGUGUAGAAUUGCAUUGUGGGGGAAAAAAAUGCCAUGAGUGGGAUGAGUGGUCAUGUUUUCCCUUCUUGUAUUGCAACCUGGCUGUGCAGCUCAGGUGAUCUUGAAGUAUUGGAUACAACUGUCUAAGCAAAUUGAACUGUACAAAGCCUCACUGAACUUCCCACUCCAUUUUACUGAUUUCAUUUCAGAAUUUUUUCUUGGUUUUUGUUUGUUUUGUGGUUUUUUUUUUGUUUUGCAUUUCAUUUCUUGAAUUUCUUCUCCUGUUUCUUUGUUUCAUAUUCUUCCCUGAUUCCAGCAUCUCAGAAAGUAUAAUUUUGCUAAGUUUUACUUAUUUUCAGUCUCCCAUAGAGGAAAAAUACAUCUUACUUGGAUUUCUAGUAUUUUGUUCAUUUUUCAAGAAGUGAAUGAGGGCAGGAAGAAGAAAUUAGAGGAGGAGUUAGAAUUUAAGCAUCAAUGAUCUUAAUUACGCUCUGUGAAGCCAAGUGAAACUGAGCUUUUCACAGAGCAUGUGACAGACCAGAGUUCAAGCUGAUCCAGAAUGAAGUGAAAUUAUAGUCUUGUAUAAGAGAUAUUUUUAAUUACCUCUUUCAGCUUUCACUUCAUAAACACAUUUGCCUUGAGUAUGUUAUUUUUGCAGCCCUGAUAACAGUUCAUUCUAUUUUUCUACAAGCACAAAUACUUCUGUGAAAUCUUCCAUGAGACAUCAGGCAAAAAAGAAUUACAAAUAUACUGCCAGGAUUCCUAAUGAAGAGUAAAGAAGAGCUUCCUGUAAAUAAUUCACAACCUGCAAAUGUCACCCUAUUUCUUAUUUUCAUCCUUUAACUGUAAAAAACAAACAAACAAACAAACAAACUCAACAAAAGCAAAAAAAAAACCAAAAAAACCAAAAAAAACCAAACAAACAAAAAAAACCCAACCAAACAAAAAAACCCAAAACAUUUCUAGGACAGGUUCCUUUUCCCUUAUUUCUGUAAGGGAUUAUCCUGAUAAAGCACUUGGAGAAAAAGGAUACAAGCCUCUUCUAAUGAAAAGCACUGGGAAAUACUGACAUGGAUUCUUUUCUCCUCUUUGCUUCUUAGACUAAGAGUUAUUUGUUUCAAAGUUCAUCUAUUAUUACUGUAGAACUUCAUCAGUCCCAUCCUCAGCCACCACAGAAGCUGCUAUGGCAGCAGCAGUUUACUCUUAGACAUAUUCAGUAAACUGAUAAACGCCUGCCAUCUUAGCAGUCAGCCUCAUUACAUUUAUUUCUCCUCAACAGAAAAGCUGUAGCUAACAAAAAUGCUUGUGCUUAUUUUUGAGUUUCUAAGACAUUCUUAGAGGUUUGUAGCACGCAUCAAGGCCACAGAUUGUUUAUAUACAAGUCAUUCUUGCUCCAUUACCCUUUCUGCUCUGAGGUCAAAAAAGCUUUUUUUGUCAUAAGAACAUACAACGAAGAUUGUCAGAGAUAGAAGUAUUCAAGCAGUGAAAUACUGGUUCGUGUCAAAGCAGGAGCAAAUCCAAAGUCCAGAGGCUACACUAAGUCCCUACAGUCAGAUAAGUCCCUGUGGAAUACCGAUGGCACAUAUGGCUGGACAUUACAACAGUCGCAAAAAUAAUCUUAAAAAUUAACAAGUUACUCUUUCAAACAUGUCAUAUUAUUAGUUAUAUUUUUUGUGAGUAAAUGAAAACUAAAUUCACAGUCCUCACAGCAAGUUUAGACAGGUUUUGUAAGACAACUGAUAUUAACACAAAACCAAUAACCUUCUAAUUUUGUCUUGCAGCAGCAGCAAUCAUUCAAGUUUCUGAAUCUUCACAUUCCAGAGGGCCAGAUGUCACUAUGUAACACACAGCCAUAUCAUGAGUUCUGACUUCAAUACUCAAUUUAUUCAAUGGAUUUCAUUAAUGUGUAUUUUCUUCUCCUGUUGCAACUUGCAACUUCAGUCUUUUCCCUUCAUGAAUAACAUGCCACAUGCAUCACUGCCAUGAACUAUGAAAAAGAAUUCCAGGAGCCCAAGGCUAUUGGAUGAUUCUUGUUCAGAGCAAUCCAUUAUUCCACAGCCAGAAAGAUUUCAUCUUUUCUAGCUCCCUGAAGCGCUGCAAUGACCAAAAAGUGAUACGAUGCCUUGCCUGAGAUUAAGAAAUUCAAACUGCCUCCCCCUGCACUCAAAGCUUUGCCAUGUCCCUCCUUUAUCUCUUUCAAGCCAGCGCCUUGAUACUUGAAAGCCAUCACCUUUCCAUUUGAGUGUUGCUACCUAUAACCUUUUUGCACACUUUGUGUGAACAUUAACACAAGAGACUUCUCGCUCCUAAUAAAUAUUUUAGUGUGACUAGAUGAUCUAGUUUCUGUACAAGUGUCACACUACACCACCAUCACUUUCUUGAUUCCUUUCCAGAUACUUGGCAUAAAAAUGUAUCUAGAAGUAAUACCUAGUCUCUCACUGAAGGAACUGGUUAGUCAUUUAACACAUAGUCCAUACCUUCUCUUAUGACAAAAUAGGAGUACAGCUCACAUGGAAGAGCAUCAAGCAUGUACAUGUACAAAUUCAUGCUCAACAUAACCCUUGCCCUGCACUUUUACAAUCCAAGUCCUUUCCUGAGUUAUUCCAUUCUAGAUCGAAACUGAGAUUGCAAAAGGGACUCCCAGUUGGAUAUGUCGUACCACAGGCUCAAAUGUAUCAAGCAGCUAGACUAAGAGAGCAUCAGAGAAAUCAUCUGACAAAAGCUGAAGUUUGACACCAGAAGCACCAGUUCCUCCUCCCAUCAAGAUACCUUCAGGCUAGUCAGACACCACUGACAAUGUCUACAUAUGCAGACACAAACCUGAAAUGCUUAAGAAUGGGCUGUAACUUUUGCACAAGUAUCUCUUAAUUCUUCCUGGUAUUCUACAUACUGAUGUGCAUGCACACAGAUGUGAAUCUAUAGGUAUUUAUUUAAACAGUUCAGUUAAAAAUUGUCUUCAGUGCUUGUACAUAAAAAUAAGUAUGAAUUCCACACGAAUCGUGUAACUAAAGCUUGAAACAAUUUACUUACCAGGAAGUCACCCACUACUUUCCAAGUUCAGAGAUUUGUCUUUGGAGUUAUUCAAACUAGGUAAGCAAUAUACUAGCAUUAAAAAGAAAAGUGGCACGUUUCGUCAGCCCUUUUAUCUUUUCAAGCUACUUGAAUCUGAAAGGACUAAAGAGAAAUAAUAGGGCCCCCACAGUCCCAUGAAUAUCUCAGUUUCUUGUUACCACCCUGUCAAUAUGCACAGUCCUCCAUGGCUCACUCCAAUGCAGAGCCCUUCUCAUCAGAAUCUUAAGUUUAGCAGUGACUAAAUAAAAAAACCCCUUUUAAAUGAACACAGCAUUAACAUAAAUGCUUCUAUAAAGAUAAAGGAGGAAAGGUGCUUUGGAGAACUCCCAACAACAGAAAUAAGGUCACUUGAGUUUCAGCAGUCUUAGCUUAUUUUAGCAAUCUCGUGCCUCUCUCUGAUAUGAGAAUCAAUAAAAGACAGUCAACACUUUUUAUGUUUCGUUUGAAAAAAUAGCAGAGAUUUCCCAAAUACUUAAUUCUGUUUAGCGUAAGGAAAAGCAGGUUUUAUUUGCAAUGUCUGCAGUCAGGCUUUGGUGCCCUUGCAAAAGAGCCAGGCUAGUGCAUUACCCAAGGUGAAAUUGUGACAACCUUAGACAGAUAAUUGGUGUAGAUAAGUGGAAUGGGAGAACCCUUCCCAGCUAAGAAAGAUAGAAGUGUGGCAUAUAGUAGACUUUAAAAGCAGACCUAACUGAUUUCUAACAGGUUCAGGUUCCAUCUGAAAAAGUUAUUAGACCCUUGAGAAUCAAACACCCAUCUACCUAAAUAUGAUCCACAGAUCACAGUAAUGAGACUACUAGAUAAACUUCCUCUGUGCAAAUGGGCAAGAAUUAUAUCUAAUGGGACAUGAGCAACAAAAUCUACACAAUCACAGCUAGGCAAGGUGUAGCUUUUUUCUCUGGGUGGCUGUAUGCCAACAAACAAUCAUGAUCUAAACUGUGGUCUUCAGAAUCAUGAUUUGAGACACAGAAAACACAGAUGGACAGGAAAGCACCCGCACCAUACACAACUCAAAUCCAGAAUGAGGCCCUAGAAUCAGAAUUACAGUAUUUAAGCUAUGGCCUGAAAGAUAAAGGGAAUCCCACCUCAUUUUGCAAGGUACUUAGUGACUUA